AUUUUCGUUGCUGUGACAAGAUCCUCUGCACUGCUGCCAGGUUUCCACAGCUUUGGUUUGAUGAUGACACAUGUCCCCUAACGUAUGAGAGCCUGAACCGAGCAGACAAGGAGGAAGAGGACCAGGGAGAUGGCACCAUGAGGAAAAGCACGUCCUGCAGAAGUCUGAGACCUGAGUUCAGAUCCCAGAAACCAAAUAAAGGCCAGGCACAGUAGCACAAGAGUCUAUAAUCCUAUUUUCCUCUCAGGAAAUGGGAGGCAAAUACAGGAGAGACUGCUGAAGCACAGGGACCAGCUGACUUGGCUAUAAAGCCUCAAAG
rnacentral:lncRNA from 1 species